rnacentral:rRNA from 1 species
UGGGGAAUUUUGGACAAUGGGCGCAAGCCUGAUCCAGCAAUGCCGCGUGCAGGAUGAAGGCCUUCGGGUUGUAAACUGCUUUUGUACGGAACGAAACGGCGAGCUCUAAUACAGUUUGCUAAUGACGGUACCGUAAGAAUAAGCACCGGCUAACUACGUGCCAGCAGCCGCGGUAAUACGUAGGGUGCGAGCGUUAAUCGGAAUUACUGGGCGUAAAGCGUGCGCAGGCGGUGAUGUAAGACAGAUGUGAAAUCCCCGGGCUCAACCUGGGACCUGCAUUUGUGACUGCAUCGCUAGAGUACGGCAGAGGGGGAUGGAAUUCCGCGUGUAGCAGUGAAAUGCGUAGAUAUGCGGAGGAACACCGAUGGCGAAGGCAAUCCCCUGGGCCUGUACUGACGCUCAUGCACGAAAGCGUGGGGAGCAAACAGG